CAAUUACUCCGACCCCAAACUACUCAUUUCUUUGCCUUGUUCGUAUACACUAUUCGAACCCUAAUUUUUUUUUCUAUUUCUUUGGGCAUGUCAGGUAUUCCCAAUCUAUAGGAUCUUCGUCUUCGUCUCCAACUAGAGAGCACGAGAUCUCGCUGGUGUAUAUCUCGGUGGAUUUCAGAGGCGGUGGCGGAAUAGGAAUCGAUCUCUGAGAUCGAUUAAAUUCUGGGCGGCGAAUCUCCACCAUUGAUGAAAUUGUGAUUCUUUCUUUCUAUGUUAUAACUUCUUCAGUUUCCAGUUUCUAUUUGUACAAAGAACUUGCAGACAAGAUAGAGAGAGGCAACAAUUGUUAAGGGUCAAGCAUUAGGGGCAGUAUUUCACUCUCAAGGCCCUUUUGUUUGGAGGUAUUCAAAGAAAUCUGAAGUGUUCAAGCGACAAUGUCCUUGUUAUGGCCUAUUUGAUACUUCUUGGAUGGUUUGGUAUUUCUUAGUAUAACUCAUUGGUUUGUUAUUAGUUUUAGUGUACAGCUUGUAAUAAUUGAAAUUUUAA